CUUCCACUUCACUUACAAUAAUCCUUGCCAGGGACCGAAUUCACCGGCAGGAACAACAUAGGAAACCAACACAAAAGUGCGGUUGUUCUUCAGACGGCAAACUACCUCCGUAUUUGAUCCCUACUAUGGAGAAAUCCACCGGAUGGAGGACCUCGCGGCUGCCUUCACGUUACCACGCGGGCCAGUUGCUCGCGACCGGUCUCUCUCGUCUCGCCAUGCACGAUUGUUUGCGUAUAUGUUUCCUGAGAGCAAAAGAGACGUUACAAGUGAUUAAUGAUCUAGUAGCUAGCUCAGAGAAAAUUAUUGGGCUGUUAGGCUGAUUAAUCAUAUGCAUGGAGGAUAGAUUGGGUUGCAUGUUACCAUUGGAUGAUAAAUAUAUAAGAAGCGGUAAAAGGAUUGUUAGUAACUGCGUGUGUGACACAUAACUCCUUAUAUAUAUUGGACUGUUAGUAGCUUCCACAUCCCAAUGUGGAAAACCAAACUUUGCACAUGAGCCUUGCAGUUAUUAUGGACCUGGGAGAUUUUAUAGAUCUAAAAUUAUUAUUUGCCCAUAAUUCUUUGAGAAAAGGUAUUUGUUUCGUCCCUCAACUUGUUGUGGAGUUCUCUUUUGGCCCCUUAAGAAAUUUUCGUGCCUUUUAUGUCUCUCAUCUUCUCAAUCAGACACAUUUGGCCUGGCCUGGGGCCUAACCGAAGCGGUUUUCUCAAUGACAUGUCUUGGUUUCUGACCCAAAGCGUCAACGUGGCAAACUACGGAGAUGCUGCCCACCAAUUGCGCGCUCGGCAAAAUUUCCAGUAUGAGGAGAGAAAGAAGAAGGCGAAGUGGAUGCCACUAGGACAGCCACAAGGACGCUUUGUCAAAAAUCAGGAGACGUUAUCGGGAAACUGCUUCGAGUCGGCUUCGGGACCAAAUGUGUCUUGUUUGAGAAGAUGAGGGACGAAAAAAGUACGGAAUUUUUUGAAGGGGUCAAAAACAAACUGUGCAGAGAAGUUGAGGGACGAAAAAAUAUUUUUCUUUAAUUCUUAACAGUUUCAUGAACAACAGAUUGUAUAUGUAGAUGUAAACUUUACUAAACAAGAGUUUCUUCA